rnacentral:lncRNA from 1 species
AGCUUGGUUUCUUUUGUGUCUGUGUCUAUGUACUUCCAUUGUUGACUAUGAAUAUUACAUGUCUUUGAAUAAUUAUGAUUUUUCACAUCAUAACGAGGAAUCUCUUAAAUGAGCCAUGCUCUUUGAAUAGGGAUAAAAUAUGUUGUUUUCAGUUCUUCACACUUUAUGGGCCUUAUUUUACUUAUAUGAUAGCCUCUUUUCAUAUGCGUUGCAAUUACCUUUUUUAUUACAUCUAUUAGUGAGUAUGCACCGGGUAUGUUGUUGUUGUUGUUGUUGUUGUUGUUGUUGUUGUUAGUGUGUAUGCAUCUAGAAAGCAAGCUGAAGAGCUAGAUAUAGAACCUUGGUGACAUGUCUUGACUCAAGACUGUUAAUUCUUGAUUGUCGUACUCGUACUGGAGCCAAUUUGCACAACUACUAAGAAGUCAAACUAGUGAACUCUCAAAGAAGUCACUCUAUGCAACUUGGUACGUCAAGAUAAAACUAAGUAUGUGACAGUUAUUCCUUGCAUUGGUGAAUACAACUUGGAUUAUGCCCAGUACUACUUGUGAUCUUUUGAGGUGCUGGAACAAUGUAGGUGGCUGGGGAAGGAAGAAGAGAUGGUGGAGGGCUAUACCAGCAUGCAUUUGGUGGAAUGUCUGGAAGGAAAGAUAAAACCAAGUAUGUUGUGGCAGAAAGC